CUGACCCCAUGCCGAACUCAGAAGUGAAACGCCGUAGCGCCGAUGGUAGUGUGGGGUCUCCCCAUGUGAGAGUAGGGAUCUGCCAGGC
rnacentral:rRNA from 1 species